rnacentral:tRNA from 1 species
UAGCGCAGCUUGGUAGCGCAACUGGUUUGGGACCAGUGGGUCGGAGGUUCGAAUCCU